rnacentral:rRNA from 1 species
GAUGAACGCUAGCGGCAGGCCUAAUACAUGCAAGUCAAACGGGUAGCAAUACCAGUGGCGUACGGGUGCGUAACGCGUAUGUAACCUACCUUUCACAGGAGAAUAACUCGGAGAAAUCAGGGCUAAUAUUCCAUAAUACAGGGGCACGGCAUCGUGAUAUUGUUAAAGCUACGGUGGUGAAAGAUGGGCAUGCGUUGGAUUAGCUAGUUGGUGAGGUAAUGGCUCACCAAGGCUAUGAUCCAUAGGGGUUCUGAGAGGAAGAUCCCCCACACUGGCACUGAGAUACGGGCCAGACUCCUACGGGAGGCAGCAGUAGGGAAUAUUGGGCAAUGGUGGAAACACUGACCCAGCCAUGCCGCGUGCAGGACGAAGGGGCUAUGCCUUGUAAACUGCUUUUAUCAGGGAAUAAAAAGGUUAUGCGUAACCAAUUGAAGGUACCUGAGGAAUAAGCACCGGCUAACUACGUGCCAGCCGCCGCGGUAA